GCCAAUUGAAAUAGUUUUUUGAGUUUGGAUUCUUAUUUUUUGUGGCCCGAAGGUUGUCACAUUCUUUACUUUCUGUUCACUUGUUUCAAAGACCACAUUAUUGACAUUGCUCUCCUUAUUGUACAUCUUGUAACUGCAGUGGUAUCAGAUAGACUUAUUAUAAAAUUUUAUGCUUUCUUCAACAGCAAUAAGUCUGAGGUCCAUUCAAUUUAUCACUUCUGUGAUGUUGGUGGAUUUUAUGCUUUAAUGACCAAGGAAAAGGCAAAUAAAUUUGCUAGAUGGUGCCUUCACUUUGAUGCUUCCCUAUUCUCCAUUUUCCACUGGGAGAAAGAACCUAGGCAGUCAAGGUUGUUCAUUUUUGUUUAUUUCUUUGUUUGCUUUUAUUUUCGAAUCGGAGGAAGUUGGAUUUGUUAGACCAUCUGAUCGUAAAAGGAAAAGGCGAAUUGUUGAACCAUCUGAUCCUAAAAGGAACAGGCGAGGGCAAACUAAGUCUGGAAGGAAAAUUUACACUUUACCUAAAAUUAAGAAACAAAAACUCAGCACUGGUAUGCCUUACUUGGUCUACAAGUGUGCUUGGGUUGCUUUUCUUCUUUUCUAUUUGUUCAGAACUUCAUAUCUAUAUUUAUGCAAGUUGCAGACAGCAUACUCCCGGAAUAGAGAAUAGAGGAAAAACAAAGAGAAAUGGAGAUAUGAUGAAGGCUAUUACUCACUAUUAACAGAUUUGGAGCUGAAGGCUAAAAUAGAAGAGUCAGUGAUACGAAGUAAGCUUGGUUAAUGAUAAAAUACGUGAUGAUCAGGAAGCUUUGCUUUCUAGCCAAGCUUAAUUGGGCUGGAAGAAGUUGAAUUUGUGGAGCCACAUCGUAGACGCAUUGUUUUCUUAGCUUUUGAUUAGUACGUGGUAGCAACGUGUGGUGCAAAGCAAUGAAAGUGACCAACAACUUUUUAACUAUUCAAGGUGUUUUAAUCUGUUUGAAAGAUUCUCUUGGCGUUAAGACUUGAAACAACAAUUUAACAAAGGGAACGUCUUGUGAACAACCAAGAAUAUUUGUUUUGAAGGCUCAUUUUGGAGACUUAAAUUUAAAGAAACGAAGUAACCAAACAAUUUGUGUACAUGAUAUUGUGCACAAUGACUGAAUGAAUUAGGAUGUACUAACUUGGGUUUAUAUAGUUUUGCAUUUCACACAAGUAAUUACCAGGUGUAACU